ACCCAAUAUCAUUUCGGAUGGCC
rnacentral:siRNA from 1 species